rnacentral:lncRNA from 1 species
AUGAUCAAAGUGUGGAUGAUGGGCACUGGGUGGCAAGAAUGUGGCAGAGGUUGCUUUGAGGUCAGCCUAGGCUACUGUCCCAUAGCAGAUGUGGCUCAGAGAAACAUAUGGUACCAAGAGGCCACCAGUUGCAGGACUGAGUCCACAGGUGAUCAGUUGUCCAUAAGUCAGAGGAUGAGAGAAGGUGCACAUGCCAGGACCAGCAUAGACACCAGAGCCCCGUCAUGCCAAGAACAAAACCUGCCACAGCAUAUCUUUCUGGCUAACAUUGCAGACUUUGGAGUCAGAAGAUUGAUACCAGUAAAGGCGAAAAGGAACAGGAAAGUUAACCUCAUUUAACAAGUGUUAACUAUGCAUAUACCAUAAUCCAAGAUCACAGGGCUAACUUUUAGAAAUAUAGCUCUGAAACAGGCAGACAAGGAACUAACUCUCACAAAAUUUAUCUUCCAAUAGAGAGAGACAUACAAUAAAUGAAAAAAUAGAGAAGAUUACCCAGGGGUUGGUGUUCUUAUACAGGGGGAAACCAUCAUGAUACAGAGACUAUUUCAGUCAAGGGUUCAGGGAAAACCACUCUAGAAGAUGACUUUUAGGUUGAGACCUAAAUAAAAGGAUAGAUUAAGUCAUCUGAAGAAAGGUCAAAGACACUGGGUAACAUGUCAAGAGAACAAGAAGACUGGGUGGCAUAAAUGUUUAACUGUAGUCAACUUCGUAUCAUGAUGUCUUUUAGGAUAUAGUCAUGAGUUUCUAAUUUCUUUCUGCAUUUAAAAAAAUACAAUGAGUAUCUGAAGAAUUAAUGUUUAUAUCUUAACAUCCAGGGAUUUUUCCACACAAAAAGUCCACCGGUAGUGUCCUAGAUUUAAAGUUAAUGUCAAUUUAUUGCAAUAAAUAUUUUUAAACUUAUUUUCAUUUGACAUACAAAUUAAAAUAUUCUAUGUGUAAUUCUAG